rnacentral:tRNA from 1 species
GGGUAGAUACCCAAGUGGCCAAAGGGGACAGACUGUAAAUCUGUUGCAUCCGUGCUUCGAAGGUUCGAAUCCUUCUCUGCCCACCA